rnacentral:rRNA from 1 species
CCUACGGGAGGCAGCAGUGGGGGAUAUUGCACAAUGGGGGGAACCCUGAUGCAGCGACGCCGCGUGGGUGAAGAAGCGCCUCGGCGCGUAAAGCCCUGUCAGCAGGGAAGAAAAUGACGGUACCUGAAGAAGAAGCCCCGGCUAACUACGUGCCAGUAGCCGCGGUAAUACGUAGGGGGCAAGCGUUAUCCGGAUUUACUGGGUGUAAAGGGGGCGCAGACGGCGAUGCAAGCCAGGAGUGAAAGCCCGGGGCUCAACCCCGGGACUGCGCUUGGAACUGCGUGGCUGGAGUGCAGGAGGGGCAGGCGGAAUGCCUGGUGUAGCGGUGAAAUGCGUAGAUAUCAGGAGGAACACCGGUGGCGAAGGCGGCCUGCUGGACUGCAACUGACGUUGAGGCCCGAAAGCGUGGGGAGCAAACAGGAUUAGAUACCCGAGUAGUC